AAAGAAUCAAAAAGAAGAAAGUCAAAAGAAAGAAACAAAAGAAAAUAGCACCCUCAAAGUCCCAAGUUGGCUGAUGCUGAAUUCAAUCGAAAAGAAGAGAUUAACUGCCAUGUGUCAUGGUCGGUUAUAUCGGCAGAGAGUGAAAAAAGCACGCGAUAAAAGGGUCAAGUCUUGUGUGUUCCGAGGGACCUUGUGCUCAAGAAAGUCUUGUCUUUCG
rnacentral:lncRNA from 1 species